UUCAAAAUUCGUCAGCAUUUUCUUAAUGAAAAGGGUGAUUUUAUAUCAAUACGAGGAACCCUAAAAGUUGUAAUAAAAAGUUAUAAAAUGCCUCUAAUACAAUAUUUAAACAAAUGACCAUAUUUAACAAACAGAGCAACAUUAUAUAUUUCGUGCGAUAUUGUGACAUUGACAGUGAUCUAUAUAGAGAUAUAAAAUGCAGUCAGCAAUCCGUAUUUGUGUGCUGUGUUUCGUUGUGCUUGUGGUGAUUCAGGGCACAAGCAGUCACUUUAUAGGUGGUUACGGUCCUGGCUUUGGUUAUGGUUACGGGCGCGGAUUCGGAGUCGGCGGAUUUGCUGUCGGCGGAUUUGGAGGCUUUUACAGACCGCCCCCUCCUCCCCCACCCGUCUUCGGACCCUACCCUUACCCUUAUUGGGGUUGAUCUUGAGUUAAAAGUAUAAUUAUAUCAAUUGUAAACCAGAAAAUUGGACUGAAUAGUAAAAUGAAUUUUGUUUAUUUCAUUAAUUCGAUUUUUGUGAUUUGCACUAUGGGAUAUGAAAUAAUAACAACAUUGCAGACAUAAUUUAUAUAAUAUAACACAUAUCAAUAUGUUUAAUACACAAGUUACACCAUACAUACAACAUGGCGUAUAUAUGUCACUAACAUAUAAUAUAUUAAUAUGUUUCUGGCAUAUUCGCGUGAUUUCUACGAAGCCGUCGCUAUUUUAGGCCAAUAUGAUGAUAAAAAAAGCAAAAAAAAAAUAAUAAUAGAAAAGUUACAAGAAGAUAUUUUAUAUCUUUAACAGCAAUUUUUUGGCAGAAAGAUACUUUUUCUUUUUUUUUAACAUUUUUUUUUUUAAUAUCGUUUAUAUAUUUUCAGAAAAUAUGUAGAUACAUCACAGAUCUUAGGCAAGUAUUUUUUUUUAAUACAACAGAGUUUUAAAACAGACAAUGUGAUAUGCAUUAAUUUGUGGUUAUAUCUAAUUUAUAUAAUAAAAAAAAAAACAUUAUAUUUAAUGAUAUGUUUUUAACUA